ensembl:lincRNA
AUGGGUCUGCACGAGGAAAAGGGCCCCGCCUCACACCUCUGCAGCCCUGUCUGUGUCCCCGUGGAUUUUCCUCCAGGAAAGAAUCUCAGCCCUGGGCUCUUGCACGAUCCACUUGCUGCAGAGCCUCGGACGCCGUCCUGGGAGGACUCGUGCUCCAGUCUGCGGUUCUUUCAGAAGUUGAGUGAGAGCAAUCGGAGGAUGGAGCAGCAUCGGAUCCCCGUUGCAGGACCAGCCCCACUCCAGGCUUCCCAGGACACCUUCAAAGUCACCUCGUCAGAUGAAAGGGUGCUCGUGUCUCCCAGGAGGCUCCGGGGAGGGAGGCGCAUGAAGACUAAAAAUGUUUUUGUUCUCAUAGCCUGGAUCUCCCGACUCCUUCAAGGCCACAAACUGACUGCUUUUACCCGCUACAGUCAUAGUUUUCAGUAGCUGUCAUGGUAGCACACACCUGUGAUCCCAGCACUUGGGAGGCUGAGGCAGGAGAAUUGCUGCAAGUUCAAGGCCAGCCUGGGAUACAAAAAAAAAAAAAGAUAAGGAGGAAAGAGGAGGCAGUGGAAAGAAGAGGAGGAGGAGAAGAAAGAAAAGAAAGAACAGGAGGAGGAGGAAGAAAGGAGGGGGAGGAGGAGAGGAAGUAACAACAUCAGUUUCCAUGAGUAAAUUUUUCUCUUCUGUUGCCUUACCUUUGGUUAUUUUGCCAGUGGCUCCAGACAAGCGUCUUCGAGCAGUGUGUCAUUUCAUACUUGUCUCCUGGCUCCUCGUCCCUCCACGAUGGCAGUGGGUCCUUAGGGCUCACACACGGUGGAGCAGGAAGCUGCUAAGGGACCCGGGGAAUCGGUCCCCCUCACCUCUGAAAUGCUCGCUCCAGCUGCCGUGACAGUGGGUUGGUAGAGAGUGCUCCCCUGGGGCUGCCUGGGGUGGCUGCUCACAGGACACCCAGCACAACUAGCAAAGGCAGUCCCUGUCACGUGACAAGUACUGGACAGCCACGACUUUGAAGGAGACAGGCUACUUAGGCUCACAUUUUCAGUCCAUGGUCAGCUGGCUUCAAGGCAAGUGGCACAGCACAGGGGCCUGGUGGAGGAGAGCUGCUCACAACGUGGGGACAGGAAGUGGAGGGAAGAGAGGAGGCCCAGGGACCCACCUCUUCUGACCAGCCCCCUCCCAAGAGCAAAUCGGCUAUGAGCCCUGCAAUCCAGUCACUUCCAUAGCCCUGCCUGCAAGCACAGAGGCUCCUGGGGACAUCUACAUAGAAAAUGACAGUCAGAGGAUCUGCUGUCACAUAACGGGAGGGCCCUGUGCAGCUUGGCCAGGCACUCGGGUGCCUCGGGUCCAUCCCUGUGGGCUAGCCCUGUCCUACAGCCACCUUUGGAGUGGGCAGCCCCAGGGUCCAGGGAGCCUCUCAGAUCCAGAGAAGAAUCUCCUCUUUCCUGGAUGGAGGAGCAGCAGCCCUGGGCUCCCCUGAUUGGACCAAUGUGCUGAGGCUGGGACCAAUCGCCAUGGACCAAGGAGCCGCAUGCCCCCCCACAGCUGGUGGAAAGGCAAGGACUGGGUGGUUCACUGUGGUUGCACCUUUAGGGAC